GAUGAACGCUGGCUGUGUGCCUAAUACAUGCAUGUCGAACGAAGCACUUGUGCUUAGUGGCGAAUGGGUGAGUAACACGUACUUAAUCUACCUCUAGGUUUGGGACAACAGUUGGAAACGAAUGCUAAUACCGAAUAUACCUUAACGCCGCAUGGUGAUUUGGUAAAAGGCCCGUUUGGGCUGCUAAGAGAUGAGAGUGCGGUACAUUAGUUAGUUGGUAGGGUAAAGGCCUACCAAGACGAUGAUGUAUAGCGGGGUUGAGAAGCUGAACCGCCACACUGGGACUGAGAUACGGCCCAGACUCCUACGGGAGGCAGCAGUAGGGAAUAUUCCACAAUGAGCGAAAGCUUGAUGGAGCGACACAGCGUGCAGGAUGAAGGUCUUCGGAUUGUAAACUGCUGUUAUAAGGGAAGAAAACCGGUGUAGGAAAUGACAUCGGCUUGACGGUACCUUAUCAGAAAGCACCGGCAAACUAUGUGCCAGCCGCCGCGGU
rnacentral:rRNA from 1 species